rnacentral:rRNA from 1 species
GGUCAAGUGAAGAAGCGCAUACGGUGGAUGCCUUGGCAGUCAGAGGCGAUGAAAGACGUGGUAGCCUGCGAAAAGCUUCGGGGAGUCGGCAAACAGACUUUGAUCCGGAGAUCUCUGAAUGGGGGAACCCACCUAGGAUAACCUAGGUAUCUUGUACUGAAUCCAUAGGUGCAAGAGGCGAACCAGGGGAACUGAAACAUCUAAGUACCCUGAGGAAAAGAAAUCAACCGAGAUUCCCUUAGUAGUGGCGAGCGAACGGGGAUUAGCCCUUAAGCUUCAUUGAUUUUAGCGGAACGCUCUGGAAAGUGCGGCCAUAGUGGGUGAUAGCCCCGUACGCGAAAGGAUCUUUGAAGUGAAAUCGAGUAGGACGGAGCACGAGAAACUUUGUCUGAACAUGGGGGGACCAUCCUCCAAGGCUAAAUACUACUGACUGACCGAUAGUGAACCAGUACCGUGAGGGAAAGGCGAAAAGAACCCCGGAGAGGGGAGUGAAAUAGAACCUGAAACCGUAUGCGUACAAGCAGUGGGAGCCUACUUGUUAGGUGACUGCGUACCUUUUGUAUAAUGGGUCAGCGACUUAUAUUCAGUGGCAAGCUUAACCGUAUAGGGUAGGCGUAGCGAAAGCGAGUCUUAAUAGGGCGUUUAGUCGCUGGGUAUAGACCCGAAACCGGGCGAUCUAUCCAUGAGCAGGUUGAAGGUUAGGUAACACUGACUGGAGGACCGAACCCACUCCCGUUGAAAAGGUAGGGGAUGACUUGUGGAUCGGAGUGAAAGGCUAAUCAAGCUCGGAGAUAGCUGGUUCUCCUCGAAAGCUAUUUAGGUAGCGCCUCAUGUAUCACUCUGGGGGGUAGAGCACUGUUUCGGCUAGGGGGUCAUCCCGACUUACCAAACCGAUGCAAACUCCGAAUACCCAGAAGUGCCGAGCAUGGGAGACACACGGCGGGUGCUAACGUCCGUCGUGAAAAGGGAAACAACCCAGACCGCCAGCUAAGGUCCCAAAGUUGUGGUUAAGUGGUAAACGAUGUGGGAAGGCUUAGACAGCUAGGAGGUUGGCUUAGAAGCAGCCACCCUUUAAAGAAAGCGUAAUAGCUCACUAGUCGAGUCGGCCUGCGCGGAAGAUGUAACGGGGCUCAAACCACACACCGAAGCUGCGGGUGUCACGUAAGUGACGCGGUAGAGGAGCGUUCUGUAAGCCUGUGAAGGUGAGUUGAGAAGCUUGCUGGAGGUAUCAGAAGUGCGAAUGCUGACAUGAGUAACGACAAUGGGUGUGAAAAACACCCACGCCGAAAGACCAAGGGUUCCUGCGCAACGUUAAUCGACGCAGGGUUAGUCGGUUCCUAAGGCGAGGCUGAAAAGCGUAGUCGAUGGGAAACAGGUUAAUAUUCCUGUACUUCUGGUUACUGCGAUGGAGGGACGGAGAAGGCUAGGCCAGCUUGGCGUUGGUUGUCCAAGUUUAAGGUGGUAGGCUGAAAUCUUAGGUAAAUCCGGGGUUUCAAGGCCGAGAGCUGAUGACGAGUCGUCUUUUAGAUGACGAAGUGGUUGAUGCCAUGCUUCCAAGAAAAGCUUCUAAGCUUCAGGUAACCAGGAACCGUACCCCAAACCGACACAGGUGGUCGGGUAGAGAAUACCAAGGCGCUUGAGAGAACUCGGGUGAAGGAACUAGGCAAAAUGGCACCGUAACUUCGGGAGAAGGUGCGCCGGCUAGGGUGAAGGAUUUACUCCGUAAGCUCUGGCUGGUCGAAGAUACCAGGCCGCUGCGACUGUUUAUUAAAAACUCUUGAUCGAAGCCCCGGUAAACGGCGGCCGUAACUAUAACGGUCCUAAGGUAGCGAAAUUCCUUGUCGGGUAAGUUCCGACCUGCACGAAUGGCGUAACGAUGGCGGCGCUGUCUCCACCCGAGACUCAGUGAAAUUGAAAUCGCUGUGAAGAUGCAGUGUAUCCGCGGCUAGACGGAAAGACCCCGUGAACCUUUACUGUAGCUUUGCACUGGACUUUGAGCCUGCUUGUGUAGGAUAGGUGGGAGGCUUUGAAGCGUGGACGCCAGUUCGCGUGGAGCCAUCCUUGAAAUACCACCCUGGCAUGCUUGAGGUUCUAACUCUGGUCCGUGAUCCGGAUCGAGGACAGUGUAUGGUGGGCAGUUUGACUGGGGCGGUCUCCUCCUAAAGAGUAACGGAGGAGUACGAAGGUGCGCUCAGACCGGUCGGAAAUCGGUCGCAGAGUAUAAAGGCAAAAGCGCGCUUGACUGCGAGACAGACACGUCGAGCAGGUACGAAAGUAGGUCUUAGUGAUCCGGUGGUUCUGUAUGGAAGGGCCAUCGCUCAACGGAUAAAAGGUACUCCGGGGAUAACAGGCUGAUACCGCCCAAGAGUUCAUAUCGACGGCGGUGUUUGGCACCUCGAUG